GGAUGAUCUGGCAGCGACAUCUGUCAUCCCACUCAUCACCAGGGUUGAGUCAGCUGAUCUGGCUGUCUAGGCAGGUGUCCCCUUCCCUCCCGAAGCUGUGCACUAGGUUGAAGAGGAUGACCUUCCCAAUAGAGAUGGACUGGUCUUCGGUCGAGGGUAUAUGAGUAGCUGUGCUCCCCUGCUAGCACCUCCAAACAAGCUCUCAAGAACUCUGUUUUCACCACCAGGAGCUUUACUUUCCCCCCUUCCCUGGGUGCAGGAGGAAAACUGGAAACCACCCUG
rnacentral:snRNA from 1 species